GACGAACGCUGGCGGCGUGCUUAACACAUGCAAGUCGAACGGAAAGGCCCUGCUUUUGUGCUGUGCUCGAGUGGCGAACGGGUGAGUAACACGUGAGUAACCUGCCCUUGACUUUGGGAUAACUUCAGGAAACUGGGGCUAAUACCGGAUAGGAUCUCCUGCUGCAUGGUGGGGGUUGGAAAGUUUCGGCGGUUGUGGAUGGACUGGCGGCUUAUCAGCUUGUUGGUGGGGUAGUGGCUUACCGAGGCUUUGACGGGUAGCCGGCAUGAGAGGGUGACCGGCGACAUUGGGACUGAGAGAGGGAGCAGAGUGCAACGGGAGGCAGCAGGGGGGAAUAUUGCACAGUGGGCGGAAGUCUGAGGCGGCAACGUCGCGUGCGGGAUGACGGCCUUCGGGGUGUAAAACGCUGUCGCCUGAGACGAAGCGGGUGUGACGGUAAUGGGUAAAGAAGCACCGGCUAACUACGUG
rnacentral:rRNA from 1 species